rnacentral:sRNA from 1 species
UAUUAAUGCAGAUAUUUAAUUAUGCUGUAUACCUAUGGGACCGAACUAACUGUUUAAGUGGCAUGUGCUGUCAUCGGCCAUAGGGAGGCCACUAUGUGGCUUUUUUCUU